UGGUUUUCAAAGGUAUGUGACAGUUUUGUGUGUUUAGGUGUUUAAAGAGAGCUUGAGAAGAAUGACUCAUUCAAGGAUACCAUCUAAGAGGGACCGAGGUUGCUAAGAGUCCACCUGUGCUGAGUGCACUUUGUUCUGGCCAGAGUUUACGGAGAGAACACCAAGGAGCAGGGCUACCUACCACUACCUGGGAUUAAGUCAGGUUGGAAGAAAGGCAAUUUCACUGAUGCCGAAAGAAGUGACGGGAGCAAGAGCAUUCUGGAUAAGAUGUGUAAAAACUGGAUAUUAAUGUCUACUACUAUUCCCGCAAGUCCAGAAGAUGAAAUUAUUGGAAGACUUCUAAAAAUUUUGUUUGUUCUCUUUGUUGACUUUAUGUCUAUUAUAUAUGUCAUUGUAACUUCCUAAAGAGCUGAAUUCCCUUGCUUUACACGUAAAUUUCACAUUAAUUCCACUGAAUAAAAACUUGUAGCUCAAUAUGUUGAGUGAUUUU
rnacentral:lncRNA from 1 species